CGGCGAGACGCACCGAAUUGAAUCCAUCAAACAGACGGCCAGGGUUUCCCGAUCCGUCCGUCAGCGCGUCUCGACCACCGGGGGCACCUUCCAGCCACCAAUUCUGUUGGCGAUGUGUCCGAAGCGCGACCUCAACCACCGCCGCAUCGCUCCCUCCUCGAGCUACUCCUACCGAGCCUCCGAGUUAUAAUCUUCUUCUCCCCCGAAUCAUGCUCAGAUCCCUCCACCUCCUUGUCGGAUUUGGGGUCGUCUCUCCGUUCCUCCUCCAAUGCAAGACUCGUAGCCUCGCCGCCCUCCCCACGAUCGCCGCCCUCUCCAACCCCCGAGGACUCUCCUCCACUCUCCCGAUCGCUCGCUCUCGAUCCGGUGCCUGUUUCAGGGCCUUUCGGAUGUCUUCCCGUGAUUCGGAGACAAGCUCCGCCGCCGAUGUGGCCUCCGGGCAGGCGGUGGCGCCGCCCGUGGUAUAUAAGUCCAAAGUUAGCUUCUGUCAGGCUUGUGGGAACCCAACUAAGCAAAUUAUACCGGAUGGGGAAGAAAAGAUCAGAGCAGUUUGCACGGUCUGUGGGAGAGUCCACUAUGAAAACCCAAAAAUGGUUGUUGGUUGCUUAGUGGAACAUGAUGACAAGGUUUUGCUAUGCAAACGCAAAAUUGAGCCGUCUUAUGGACUCUGGACUCUUCCUGCUGGUUAUUUGGAAAUUGGGGAGUCAGCUGCAGAAGGAGCAUGCAGGGAAACCUUGGAAGAAGCAUGUGCUGAAGUGGAAGUACUUUCACCAUUUGCUCAGUUAGAUAUUCCUCGAAUUGGCCAAAGUUACAUCAUUUUCCGAGCAAGACUAAAGACACCCCAUUUUUCACCAGGCCCUGAGUCAUUGGAAUGUGCACUUUUUGCGUUGGAUGACAUACCAUUUGAUUCCCUAGCAUUUUCAUCAAUCAUUGUCACCUUAAAGAUUUUUCGUACUCCUUUGAAGUCUGAUGGACUAUAAACGAUCAUAAAAGGAAAGAGCUGGUUAGACACAAACUCAAGUGCAUAUCCUGACACAUGCUAACACCCAAGGAACUUCUGCUAAAGACUUUUUAGACCGGGAGCGAGCCCAUCUGACCCCCUUGGUUUUGAUGUGGACCACCAUUUGCAUUCAUGAACAUGGUGCAUUCCUUUUGAAUCAUAGUCAGCUAUUGGGAUAAUGACGAAAGAUUGGUACUGAUGAUUUGCUCAGCGGAAGAUAUCAUAAUUGCUUCUCAAUCAAGAUUGAGGUAGCUGGGCUGAAGCUUCUGUCAUCGUGGCCAUCUGAAUAGUGCCAGGUAUUUGGUACUGAAUGGAAGCACAUGUUUUCUUUUAGAUUAGGUUUUAUGAAAUGUUUUUCGUGUAUGCAGUGAAGGAUGGUACUAUCUCUUUUACUUGUUCAAAACACUUGAAGUUACAUCAUUAUUUUCAUUUUGUGAAUCUUUGGUGUUAAAUAUGGAGAUGUUAAACAAAGUCUUUGUGGGAGAUGGUUUUUAGUUAGGCUGCUGGAUUAUUUUCUGUAGGUAUUUUUUAUCAAUUAUGCUAUUUUUUAUAUCUAUAA